rnacentral:rRNA from 1 species
AUGACAGAAAUUGGGGGCAUGCUUGCCUCUGCCGUCCUCAAGGUGGUGACCCAGCAGAUUGGGUCAGUCAUUGGAAGCCAAGUUAGGAUGCAGAGGAACUUCAGUGAUGACCUUGAAAAGUUGAGGAUGCUGCUGGAGUCGGUAGAGGCGGUGCUCAAGGACGCUGAGAGGCGGUCAAUCAAGGACGCGGCAGUGCGUUUGUGGCUUGAGCGCCUCAAGAAUUCCAUGUAUGACAUCUCCAAUGUGAUUGAUGAGUUUGAAGCAAACACCAAACCAGCUGCUCGAAAGUUUGCAAUUAUGGUUUCCUGUCAUACAGUUGUUUCCAAGAUUACUAUGGCUAAUAAGAUGAAGAAGAUGACAGAGCAACUGGAGACCAUCACAAGUCAACACCGGAGUUUUAGUUUCACAACAGACAUUAGGUCUAACGUGCAGCGAUUUGUUGAUGUACGGGAAACAUCUUCAAAUGUGGAAGAAGCACUCAUAGUAGGAAGAAUUGAAGAAAAACAUAAAAUUAUGGCUUCCUUAUGUAAGAGCAUGGCACAAGAGAUCAUCCUACCAAUAUAUGGCAUUGGGGGUAUUGGCAAGACAACGUUAGCACAAUGGGUUUUCAAUUGUAGCCACUUCAAAGACUAUUGCAAGGUCUGGAUUUAUGUGUCACAGAAGUUUGACUUGAAUAAAAUUGGCAACUCCAUACUUUCUCAAAUAUCGGAGGAGCAGAUCCAGAUGACUGAAAGGCAGAUGAUAAAUAAUCGCCUCGGAAAGCUGCUUGCUGGUAAGAAGAUUCUGAUUAUUUUGGAUGACCUGUGGGAGAAGGAUCCAUCUCAGCUAGCAGAUUUACAGUGUAUGCUAAAGGUUGGCGGGGGGCACAAAGUGGUUGUAGUAACCACACGCGAUGAAGAGAUUGCAAUGAAAAUGUGUACAGUUGAACCAUUCAAGAUGGAGCCCUUAACCAAUGAUCUUUGCUGGACAAUAGUCAAACAAAAAUGUGCCUUUGAAUUUAGAGCUGAUAAAGAAAGGUUGGAACUGAUAGGGAGGGAGAUCGCAAAGAAGUGCGGAGGUGUGGCAUUAGCAGCUCAAUCCAUUGGGUACAUGUUACAGUCUAUGACAUAUGAUGAAUGGAGAUUGGUGAAAAACAGUGAUAUCUGGAACAUACUUGCUGCUGAAGAUGCAUCUUCACCUCAUCACGUGCCUGCAUCAUUGAAGUUAAGCUAUAGCAGUAUGCCUCCACUCUUAAAGUUAUGCUUUGCUUAUUGUGCAACCUUUCCUAAAGGUCACAGUAUAGUUAAAGAUGAUCUGAUUCAUCAGUGGAGUUCUCUUGGUUUUAUCAAGCCAGUGAACAUAUUCUCUACGAGGCAGCUUGGUGAGAAUUAUGUUAGUCAUCUAUUGGGCAUGUCCUUCCUUCAAUAUUCCAAGUCAGAUUUGACUGGACGAUUGCACGACAAAGAUGUUACUUUGUUCACCAUGCAUGACCUGGUGCAUGACCUUGCAAGAUCAAUCAUGGCUAAUGAAGUUCUGGAUGCUAGCAAAAAUGGAAGUAUUGGGGGAAGCAGUUGCCUGUACGCAAUGCUCACAGAUUGCAGCAAGCCACUGAAUUUAUCUGUGAUCUCUCCUGCGAAGAUAAGGACUCUGCGUUUCCUGGACUGUGGAAAAAUUGUUGUUUGUGGGGCUGCAUUUUCGUCAGCUAAGUACCUGCGGGUCUUAGACUUAAGUGAAUGCUCCAUACAGAAGUUGCCACAUUCUAUUGGUCGACUAAAGUAUUUGAGAUAUCUUAAUGCUCCACGCAUGCAAGAUCAAAUGAUCCCCAAGUGUAUCACAAAGCUCUCAAAAUUAAACUACCUCAACUUGCGUGGAUCUUCUAAACUUUUAGCACUGCCUGAAUCAAUGGGUAAUAUCGAAGAUCUGCUGCAUCUCGAUUUAUCGGGUUGUUGGAGAAUAGAAAAACUCCCGAAAUCAUUUGUAGAGCUCACAUCAUUGGUACAUCUAGAUUUAUCGCAAUGUUAUAUGGUUGAUGGUAUUCCGGAAGCUUUGCGAGUCUUUACCAAACUCCAAUAUUUGAAUUUGUCACUGCGCUAUUGGAUCCAAGCAGACAGGCAGCAUCUCAGAGGGCUACCAGAAGUCAUUGGCAAUCUCACCAAACUCCGAUAUUUAAAUCUAUCAUGGUGCAUGCGUGCUAUCUUUGCUGUCCCAUCAACAGAUAAAAUUAACAGUUCCCCUGGCCGGUGUUCUAUCUCUGAGAAUUCAUCAACAGAUCAAACUGACAGUUUCAUGGACCAUAUCUCUACACUUUCCAAUCUAGAGCAUCUGGACUUGUCUGAGAAUAUAUAUCUUGUUAGUAUACCUGAAUGUGUAGGCAGCCUUAGGAAGCUACACACACUGGACCUUUCAGGGUGUGAUGAAUUAGCAAGGCUUCCAGACAGUAUGGUUGAAAUGGAUAGUCUGAAGAUUCUAAAUGUAAAGGGCUGCCACGAACUGGAUAAUUCCAUUCUCUUUCGCUUCAACCUUUUCGCCUUGUUGCCACACUUUGUGGUGCAUGCCGGUGAUGGCGAAUCUAGCAGCAACUUUGUCCUGCUUCAGCAUGCAAAUCCUGAUGAACUGCAGAUAAGUAGAAUUGAAAAUGUGAAAUCUACGGAAGAGGUUCAGAGUAUAAAACUGGUGGAAAAACAAAGAAUAGUAGAAUUGAAAUUAGAAUGGACUGCAUAUGCUGAGAAGUUUGUGGAUGACUUGGAAGUGUUGGGAGAGUUAGUGCCACCGAGCACUUUAAAGAAAUUUGAGAUACAAGGUUAUAAUUGUGUCGACUUUCCAGCUUGGGUAUUGGAUAUUAGUCAUUACCUCCCAAAUCUUGUCAGCAUUAUGAUGGUGCAUUUGCCCAAAUGUAAUAACCUACCACCACUUGGCCAAUUACCAAACCUACAAUCAUUGGUACUUGAAAGAAUGCACAACAUUAUGAAAAUUGAUGAGGGCUUUACUGGUGGGGCGAGAGCAUUUCUUCGACUGGAGAGAUUAGAACUAACUGGUAUGGAAGGUCUGGAAGAAUGGACCACAAUAUACUCCAGUGGUGAGGAUGGUACGAACAAGCUCAUGUUCCCCAACCUUGAGAUAUUGAGGAUACGUGACUGCCCUAAGUUGAGGUUGAAACCUUGUCUACCUAGAGCUGCCUACUGGGUGAUAUGGAACAGUGAUAAUGUACUAUUGACACAGGGAGAGAGUGUGACGUGCACCAGUGCUUCCUCUUCUCCAGUAACUACAUUGGAUGUUGGGUCCUGCGAGCUGCCUCUGCAUCAGUGGAGGUUACUUCACCACCUCCCUGCGCUCUGUAAAUUAACUAUCAGCGAUUGCAAUGAUCUGACCAGCUCUUCAGACAUCAUUCGAGCUCUCUCCUCCCUCCAAUCACUGCAUAUCUCCUCUUGGAGAAGUAUGGCAUCACUCCCACUGUGGUUAGGAGAACUCAACUCUCUCAAGAAAUUUGAGAUCUGGGGAUUCAAGGGUAUUGGAGCUUUUCUAGAGAUCAUACAGCAGCUCACCAACCUCAAAGAACUACAAACAGUUUUUUGUCCUGAAUUAAAGCAGUGGUGUGAAUCAAAGGAGAACAAGCUGAAACUCGCUCACAUAAAAGAAACGAUUCUUUGGUAG